rnacentral:rRNA from 1 species
AUUGAACGCUGGCGGCAGGCCUAACACAUGCAAGUCGAGCGAGCGGCGGACGGGUGAGUCAUGUGUGGGAAAAUGCCUGAUGGAGGGGGAUAACUACUGGAAACGGUAGCUAAUACCGCAUACCAUCGGAUGUGCCCAGAUGGGAUUAGCUAGUAGGUGGGGUAACGGCUCACAUAGGCGACGCUCCCUAGCUGGUCUGAGAGGAUGACCAGCCACACUGGAACUGAGACACGGUCCAGACUCCUACGGGAGGCAGCAGUGGGGAAUAUUGCACAAGGGGCGCAAGCCUGAUGCAGCCAUGCCGCGUGUAUGAAGAAGGCCUGCGGGUUGUAAAGUACUUUCAGCGGGGAGGCGUUACCCGCAGAAGAAGCACCGGCUAACUCCGUGCCAGCAGCCGCGGUAAUAC